CGCGUAGGUGGUAGUGUAAGUCUGAGGUGGAAUCCCAGGGCUUAACCCUGGAACUGCCUUGGAAACUGCAUUACUUGAGUCAGUGAGGGGAGGGCAGAAUUCCUGGUGUAGCGGUGAAAUGCGUAGAUAUCAGGAGGAAGGCCUGUGGCGAAGGCGGCCCUCUGGUGCUGGACUGACACUGAGGCGCGAAAGCGUGGGGAGCAAACAGGAUUAGAUACCCUGGUAGUCCACGCCCUAAACGGUGGGCACUAGGUGUAGGGCUCGUAAGGGUUCUGUGCCGAAGGGAAACCAUUAAGUGCCCCGCCUGGGGAGUACGGCCGCAAGGUUGAA
rnacentral:rRNA from 1 species